rnacentral:lncRNA from 1 species
GUCAACACGCACGUAAACUAGCUAAUAUAGCCGAAAUCUUAAAAAUCAGUCUUCUAACUGGAAUUUCUACUUACCCCUGAUUGAAACACCUUUCAAACUAGAUUCUCAGGUUACCAAUUUGACUCAAAUUAGUUUGGAAACCUGCUACGAACAAAGAAUCCCAAACUGCAUCAAUUCGUACUAAUAAACUUCAUAUAGUUUCUAAAUUUCAUCAUAACUAACAAAUUAUCUUUGUCCAUCUUUGGAGCAGCUCAUCCCUGGUCUAAGAUGGUUCAAUCACAGCUAAAUAACUUCUCUUUAGCUGCUGAAAUUGCCCUCGAACUCAGCUGGGAGCAACAAAACCAAAACUACUCAAAAUCCAAUACUAAACUUCCAAUUA